ACGCGAGGAACCUUACCAGGUCUUGACAUCCCAUUGACCGCUAUGGAGACAUAGCUUUCCCUUCGGGGACAGUGGUGACAGGUGGUGCAUGGUUGUCGUCAGCUCGUGUCGUGAGAUGUUGGGUUAAGUCCCGCAACGAGCGCAACCCUUGAUCUUAGUUGCCAGCAUUCAGUUGGGCACUCUAAGGUGACUGCCGGUGACAAACCGGAGGAAGGUGGGGAUGACGUCAAAUCAUCAUGCCCCUUAUGACCUGGGCUACACACGUACUACAAUGGCCAGUACAACGGGAAGCGAAGCCGCGAGGUGGAGCCAAUCCUAAAAAGCUGGUCUCAGUUCGGAUUGUAGGCUGCAACUCGCCUACAUGAAGCUGGAAUCGCUAGUAAUCGCGGAUCAGCAUGCCGCGGUGAAUACGUUCCCGGGCCUUGCACACACCGCCCGU
rnacentral:rRNA from 1 species